UUUAUCAAUUUUCACAUAUUUAAUUUCUCACAGUUACACGCUUUACAAGCAGUCAGGUUACAUCAUAUGACAAAUUUGUGUUUUAAAACACCAAUCUUUUCCAUGAGACAAGAAUUGUUUGUUCCAAGCCAGUAUUUUUCAGGCCAGUUAAAAUUACAAACAUGAAAAGGACACCUUCCAAGCUACACGUUUCGGGAUAUAGUAUGGGAAGUCAAAUUCCGUUUAAGGGCUUAGUUUAUACACCAAAGAAGGAAAAGUCCUUUGAUUACAAGUAUUACGGGAAAAGGCUUGCAUUUCAUUUGGAGAAUAUGACGCCCAAAAUGGCCAGUCAUUGUGUUAACUUAAUAAACAAUAUCAUCUACCUCUCAAAAACUGAAUCAUUGGACCGAACAUCGAUUAUCUCGGUGAACCCACUUGAUGAAUCACGUAACGAUUAAAACAAAAUAAAUUUUUUUAUAACUUG